UACAGAGGUCUCAAGCGUUGUUCGGAUUCAUUGGGCGUAAAGCGCACGCAGGCGGUCUCUUAAGUUUCGAGUGACAGGUCAGGGCUUAACCCUGGCAGGCCUUGGAAAACUGGGGACUUGAGGGCUUCAGAGGACGCGGAAUCCAGGUGGAGCGGUGAAAUGCGUAGAGAUCUGGAAGAACACCGAAGGCGAAGGCAGCGU
rnacentral:rRNA from 1 species